rnacentral:lncRNA from 1 species
CCCCCUGUCUUGUCAUCGUCCACCCAGACUGACCAAACAAGUUUGCUAAGCCAAAGAACGUUCUUUGGCUAAGCGCCAUUUCAAGCGAGGACAGUCGUAACAAUGGAUACAGCUCCUUUGCCAAAAGAGGCGUUACAUGAUAGUUCAAAAUUAUCAGAUUUUUAUAACUGCAAGAAGUUCCCGAAGAUGCUGUUAAUGUCCUAAAAGGGUAAAGGCAAAGCAAGUAUUUUAGCAUCAGGUUGUUAUUUGAAAAAAAAAAAAAAAAAAAAAAAUCCAAAUUCUGCACUUCUAAUAUUUGCUAAAUGGAAUAGAAGACAUGGAAUCUCUUGGACCAGCUCAGAAUAAACAGCCCAUUAUAGUGUGUAUUACAAGUUCAUUCUAUAUUAAAGCAGUAAAUCACUUAAAAGCAUGCCCAAAUCAUGCCAUGAAGGCAUUUGACAUUCUAUUUAAAACUAAUUUUGUAUUUAGCGUUCAAUAUGCACAUACAUCAACAAAUUUUUAUAAUUUUGUGGCAAGCCUUUUGUAUAAUGUCAGCACUCCUAGAGCUUGUGUGGACUCUUUAAAUAC